rnacentral:rRNA from 1 species
GACAGAGGGUGCAAACGUUGUUCGGAAUUACUGGGCGUAAAGCGUGUGUAGGCGGCCGCGUAAGUCGGAUGUGAAAGCCCUGGGCUCAACCCAGGAAGUGCACUCGAUACUGCGUGGCUCGAGUACUGGAGAGGUUGGUGGAAUUCUCGGUGUAGAGGUGAAAUUCGUAGAUAUCGAGAGGAACACCGGUGGCGAAGGCGGCCAACUGGACAGAUACUGACGCUGAGACACGAAAGCGUGGGGAGCGAACAGG